rnacentral:pre_miRNA from 1 species
CAGCUACUCCCUCCGAUCCACAUAUUACUUGUCGCUCAAAUUGAUGUAUCUAGACGUAUUUCAGUGCUAGAUACAUCCGUUUGAGCGACAGGUAAUAUGGAUCGGAGGGAGUACUAU